rnacentral:rRNA from 1 species
ACCUAAAAAGCUAGCCCAACCUAUCUUCAAACAAACACCUAUAAAUUAAUAACCUAAAAAUUAAUCAACAAAACAUUUUACCUCCCCAGUACGGGCGACAGAAAAGGAAACCUGGCGCGAUAGAGAAAGUACCGCAAGGGAAAGCUGAAAGAGAAAUGAAAUAACUACCCCAAGCCUAAGAAAGCAGAGAUUCCUUCUCGUACCUUUUGCAUCAUGAUUUAGCUAGUACUCCUGAGCAAAGAGAACUUUAGUUCAGACCCCCGAAACUAGACGAGCUACUUCAAGACAGCCUACUGGGUAUUAACCUGUGGGGCACACCCGUCUCUGUCGCAAAAGAGUGGGAAGAUCUUCAAGUAGAGGUGAUAAACCUAUCGAGCCUAGUUAUAGCUGGUUGCCUAAAAAGUGAAUUUAAGUUCAGCCUCUUAGCCCCCCCUUCAUCAACGGCAUUAAGCCCCCACAGAUAAACGGCGGCUAAGAGAGUUAGUCAAAGAGGGUACAGCCCCUUUGAAAAAGGACACAACCUCAACCGGAGAUAAAAGAUCAUAUCACUUAAGGAAACUUAUUUUAGUGGGCCCAAAAGCAGCCACCUAAGAAGAAAGCGUUAUAGCUCCUAUAAACCCCACCCUUUAAUACCGAAACCCACUCUUCACUCCCCUCUCACUAUUAGGCCCUCCCAUUAACCCUGGAAAAGACCCUGCUAAAAUGAGUAAUAAGAGGAAACGCCCCUCUCCCCCGCACAUGUGUAAAUCGGAACGGACCCACCCCCGGUAAUUAACGAACCCCCAAUGAGGGUGCUGUAAUUAUACAUAAAUAACAAGAAAAAUUAACAUAUCAACUCGUUAAACCAACACAGGUGUACUUCUCCGGAAAGACUCAACCAAAGGGAAGGAACUCGGCAAACAAAAGCUUCGCCUGUUUACCAAAAACAUCGCCUCUUGCAAAAUGAACGAAUAAGAGGUCCCGCCUGCCCAGUGAUAUUAUUAAACGGCCGCGGUAUUUUGACCGUGCAAAGGUAGCGCAAUAAAUUGUCUCUUAAUUGGAGACUAGUAUGAAUGGCAUUACGAGAGCUUAGCUGUCUCCCCUUUAAAGUCAAUGAAAUUGAUCUCCCCGUGCAGAAGCGGGGAUAAAAUCGUAAGACGAGAAGACCCUAUGGAGCUUAAGAUAUAAAGCAACUCACGUCAAAUACCCCCUAAAUGGAGGCGAACAAAAUGAGCCUUGCCAGCAUGUCUUCGGUUGGGGCGACCACGGGGAAAGAUAAAACCCCCACAUGGACGGGCCACUAAGCCCUAAAACAUAGACCCACAGGUCAAAUCAACAGUAUUUCUGACCACUAAAGACCCGGCUUUCGCCGAUUAAUGAACCUAGUUACCCUAGGGAUAACAGCGCAAUCCCCUUCAAGAGCUCUCAUCGACGAGGGGGUUUACGACCUCGAUGUUGGAUCAGGACAUCCUAAUGGUGCAGCCGCUAUUAAGGGUUCGUUUGUUCAACGAUUAAAGUCCUACGCGAUCUGAGUUCAGACCGGAGUAAUCCAGGUCAGUUUCUAUCUACGGAUUGAUCUUUUUUUAGUACGAAAGGACCAAAAAGAAGAAGCCUCUGUUAAAGACACGCUUCACCUUCUACUAAUGAAUUCAAAUAAAAUAGAAAGAAGGCAAAAUUUCCCCGCCCUAAAACAGGGCUA